rnacentral:misc_RNA from 1 species
GAUGAAGAACGUAGCGAAAUGCGAUACUUGGUGUGAAUUGCAGAAUCCCGUGAACCAUCGAGUCUUUGAACGCAAGUUGCGCCUCAAGCCAUUAGGUUGAGGGCACGUCUGCCUGGGCGUCACAUAUCGUUGCCUGAUGCCAGUUUCCUCGUGAUGGGUGACUGUGCAGGGCGAAUGAUGGCUUCCCGUGAGCAUUGUUGCCUCAUGGUUGGUUGAAAAUUGAGUCCUUGGUAGGGAGCGCCGUGAUAGAUGGUGGUUGAGUGACGAACGAGACCCAAUCAUGUGAGACCCCUACCGAAUUUGGCCUUCAUGACCCACAUGCGUCUUUGGAACGCUCAUGACGAGACCUCAGGUCAGGCGGGGCUACCCGCUGAGUUUAAGCAUAUCAUAACGGAGGA